GGACUACUAGGGUUUCUAAUCCCAUUUGCUACCCUAGCUUUCGUCUCUGAGUGUUAGUAAUAGCCCAGUAAAGUGCUUUCGCCAUCGGUGUUCUUUCCAAUAUCUACGCAUUUCACCGCUCCACUGGAAAUUCCCUUUACCUCUACUAUACUCUAGUCUAAUAGUUUCGACUGCGAUUUUGAAGUUGAGCCUCAAGAUUUAACAGUUGACUUAUUAAACCACCUACAGACGCUUUACGCCCAGUGAUUCCGGAUAACACUUGCAUCCUCCGUCUUACCGCGGCUGCUGGCACGGAGUUAGCCGAUGCUUAUUCUUCAGGUACACGUCAUUGAUUCCUCCCUGAAAAAAGAGGUUUACAACCCAUAGGCAGUCUUCCCUCACGCGGUAUUGCUCCGUCAGG
rnacentral:misc_RNA from 1 species